rnacentral:rRNA from 1 species
CGCAAGCCUGACGGAGCAAUACCGCGUGGGGGAGGAAGGUCUGUGGAUUGUAAACCCCUUUUCUCAGGGAAGAAGCUCUGACGGUACCUGAGGAAUCAGCAUCGGCUAACUCCGUGCCAGCAGCCGCGGUAAUACGGAGGAUGCAAGCGUUAUCCGGAUUUAUUGGGCGUAAAGCGUCCGCAGGCGGCUAGAUAAGUCUGCUUUUAAAGAAUGGGGCUCAACCCCGUAUAGGGAGUGGAAACUGUUUAGCUAGAGUAUGGUAGGGGCAGAGGGAAUUCCCAGUGUAGCGGUGAAAUGCGUAGAUAUUGGGAAGAACACCAGUGGCGAAGGCGCUCUGCUGGACCAAAACUGACGCUGAUGGACGAAAGCUAGGGGAGCG